UCCCUGGUGGCCCAGUAGUUAAGAAUCUGCCUUCCAAUGCAGGGGACACAGGUUCAAUUCCUGUUCAGGGAA
rfam:TPA: Bos taurus chromosome X, whole genome shotgun sequence.